UUUAAUAAAAAAUAGACAAAAAAAUUAAAAAUUUAAAUAAAUUUAAUUCUUUAUUCCCAUUUUUUUCUCCUUCUUUUUCCAGCCCCUCCUCGCUUCCUCUCCCCCCCUUCCUCCAUCAGCGCCAUCCGAGGCCAUCCCGCCCUCCUCCCUUGUCCUUUCCAAGGAGACCCCCCCAUCGACAUCCAAUGGCAAAAAAACCGGGAAAACCUUUUGGGAAUUCCCGAAUUUCCCUCUGGGAAUUCCCGGCUGCUCCUGCUGCCCUCGGGAACGCUGCAGAUUGGCAAGAUUGGAGUGGAAGAUGAAGGAAUUUACCGGUGUCUCCUCAGCAAUGCCGGAGGGUUCCGGCUUGGGAGCGAUGUCAGGUUGAGGGUGGUGGAGGAUCCCGGAAUUCCUCGCCCUCCCCUUUUCCUCCAAAAACCUCGGGAUCAGGACGUGCUGGAAGGUGGGAAUGUGGUUCUGGAAUGUUCUGCUUCGGGAUUUCCUCCUCCCAUCAUCACCUGGAGCCGGGAAAACCGAGAGAUUCCCAGCAGCUGGGGUAAAUUCCGACUGUUGGGCGGUUCCCACCUGCUGAUUUCCAACAUCAGCGCUGUCGAUGAAGGCUCCUACGGCUGCCACCUCCGAGCUGGAGCCGUCAAUGACUCGGCCACCGCCAGGAUCAGAGUGCUGGGUGAGAGUCUGG